rnacentral:rRNA from 1 species
GAAUUCAUCUUCGGGGGUAGAGCACUGUUUCGGCUAGGGGGUCAUCCCGACUUACCAACCCGAUGCAAACUACGAAUACCGAAGAAUGUUAUCACGGGAGACACACGGCGGGUGCUAACGUCCGUCGUGAAGAGGGAAACAACCCAGACCGCCAGCUAAGGUCCCAAAGUCAUGGUUAAGUGGGAAACGAUGUGGGAAGGCACAGACAGCCAGGAUGUUGGCUUAGAAGCAGCCAUCAUUUAAAGAAAGCGUAAUAGCUCACUGGUCGAGUCGGCCUGCGCGGAAGAUGUAACGGGGCUAAACCAUGCACCGAAGCUGCGGCAGCGACACUAUGUGUUGUUGGGUAGGGGAGCGUUCUGUAAGCCUGCGAAGGUGGCCUGUGAGGGUUGCUGGAGGUAUCAGAAGUGCGAAUGCUGACAUAAGUAACGAUAAAGCGGGUGAAAAGCCCGCUCGCCGGAAGACCAAGGGUUCCUGUCCAACGUUAAUCGGGGCAGGGUGAGUCGACCCCUAAGGCGAGGCCGAAAGGCGUAGUCGAUGGGAAACAGGUUAAUAUUCCUGUACUUGGUGUUACUGCGAAGGGGGGACGGAGAAGGCUAUGUUAGCCGGGCGACGGUUGUCCCGGUUUAAGCAUGUAGGCGGAGGUUCCAGGUAAAUCCGGUACCUUUUAACGCUGAGGUGUGAUGACGAGGCACUACGGUGCUGAAGUAACAAAUGCCCUGCUUCCAGGAAAAG